rnacentral:rRNA from 1 species
CGCAAGCCUGACGGAGCAAGACCGCGUGCGGGAUGACGGCCUAAUGGUUGUAAACCGCUUUUCUCUGGGAAGAUGAUGACGGUACCAGAGGAAUCAGCCUCGGCUAACUCCGUGCCAGCAGCCGCGGUAAUACGGAGGAGGCAAGCGUUAUCCGGAAUUAUUGGGCGUAAAGCGUCCGUAGGCGGUUUAUCAAGUCUGCCGUUAAAGACUGCAGCUUAACUGUGGGCGAGCGGUGGAAACUGAUGAACUAGAGUACGGUAGGGGUAGAGGGAAUUCCCAGUGUAGCGGUGAAAUGCGUAGAUAUUGGGAAGAACACCAGUGGCGAAGGCGCUCUACUGGGCCGUAACUGACGCUGAGGGACGAAAGCUAGGGGAGCG